rnacentral:lncRNA from 1 species
UCGUCAUAGAAUUCCUCUUUCAUUGCGGGUGAUACCUAUUUGCAAUUAUGGUUGGCUGCUUAAGGUACAAGAAUUUGGUUCAAGGAUGGUGCUGUGAAGGAUCAGAAUAAGUCCUGGUCAAUGAGUACUUACCCAAGGCUAGCCUGGACAAACUCCUUCACAAGAACACCUGUUCUGCGGUUUUCCUAUCCUGGAAGCUAAGGUUUUUGUAGAUUGAGAUAGAUUUAUUUUCGCUAUCGUGCCUCUUCCUUGUACCGGUUGAUGCUGCGGAGGAACCCAACCCCUAUUCGAUAAAGUCGAUAAAGAAGGGAACGGUGCAAAUAAAGCUAUUUCGAGUCCUCUAUCAACAACCAACCAAACCACCCGCUUGUCGUAAGCUUCAUGUCCGAGACUCGGAAAGAAGAGUGACGUUAAAGAGGGCGUCAGAGCCUCUCGAAGUCUCUGAUCUCACAGAUGGUUAGGCUGCAACUCCUUCGCUUGUGAAGAAGCUUGGCUAGUUCUCCUUACUCGGACAUUCUAUUCAUUCGACCACCGCCCAUGCUUCAAGAUUGAAGUUUUGUUUUGACUCUGUAAAAAAAAAGAACGUUGUAACGUCGGUUAACGGAGCCUCACAGGCAGCCAAAUAAGUUCUUGACCCCUUUACCUAUCUUGGGUGAGCUACAUCCAUACAUAGUCUAAGCCUCUGAUUGACUGUACUAGAUACGGAAUUUUAGUCCCAAGAGUUCUGCAGAAGCGGGCUAAAGGCAAUAGUUUGCUAGGGUGGCUAUCCCAAUUCUUUGAUAAGAUCGCUACCGAACGCCCCCGAAAGCCUAGUCUUUAGAAGGAACGAACGGAUUUCUUAGUUCGUUCGUGCAAUGAAUAAUCUUAUCUGAAGAAGGUAAUACGGAAAGAAAAAACUCAACCUGAUGCUACUGGAAUAGAGAAGCAAGCAAAGUGGGUCGGGCUGGCCUGGGACUCAAUUGAAAAAAGCGGUAUUUCUUCCUAAAGACUAACUAACGGGACGCACUCAAUUUCUACCUUCCCCGAGCUUACCACCACCCGUGGGACAAGAGAAUGAAAACAGAGGAAUGACCAAGGGAAUUUUCUAUUAACCAACGGGAGAUCCUCCUUUUCUCGCUAAUCUAGGUCUCAGGGUUCCCCAGCACAGACUUCUUGUUAGUUUAAACUAAUAAAAUGGGAGUGAAGCUAUGCCGUUAAACAAGACAAACCAAUCGCAGAUGUACUAUCACGCGAGGAAGGCCCCCCAUUAUUGUUGAAAAACGACUAUUCUAUAAUAUAAUAAGCGAAAUGUAUCUGGUCUGGAGAAUCCAUUGGAAGCGCCUGUGGGAGCUCGACUUCCAGGUAUACUUCAAAGUCCUAGGGAUGCAAAGAAGGGGUUGUUUAGAUAAUAGUAAGAGUUCGAGCAGGUAGCUGAGCGAACAAACUAACUAAUAUAGCGAGUCUAUUAUAUAGAGCUGAGCGGUAAGCAAGAAGAGUAUAUUGACCUUACAGGCAUUUCUUUAUAGUUCUAUACGUGGUUCCAGCAAGGGAGUCACAUUCAUGGACGAGGGACUGAAAGGAAGAGACAGCUAUAAUACAGAAUAGAUUCCCACUAGCAGCUAAUCCAAUAGGCACAAUACCCGAUCGUGGAACAGAUUUGCUCGCUUGGUCGGCUUCCCCGAAAAGGAAACUUGACUUUCCAUAACUGAACCUGAAAGCGCUGCUAUGACUGCUGCACAGGUUUUCUCCAUAGCUGUGAAUUUUUUUUAUGCAUUAUUAUCAUUGAACAACUUAACUAAAUGAAAUGAGUCCAAAGCUCUCUUCUUCUUAUCAUCAUCAUGCUGUGCAAGCACGGCUCCAACAGAAUCCUUGUAGCAACAUAGAGGAGGACGGCCUACACUAUUAGAGGAGAGUAACUGUAAAGACACAACUUCCACCCUGUUGGCUGUAGUUUUAGCUUGUAUAUGUGAAAAAAGGAGAUUUUCUUUCAUAGAAUAACUCUUUCACUCGGUAAGUUCCGUUGGACCACUACGCGCCUUUUCAGUCGAGUUACUAAAGUACCUCUCGCAACAAGUGCUCGAGUCAUGACUUCGCCCUCUCCUUUCAGUUGAGUUGCUAAAGCACCUCUCCUUUGCUGUUCGAGUAAACAAGAAAUGCUCGAGUUACUAAAUACCUAAGGGGGCCCUCUCUGAUAAGGAAAGAAACGAAAGAAUCUCAAAUUGAUGAAAAAUCUGGUUCGAUGGCUGUUCUCCACAAACCACAAGGAUAUAGGGACUCUCUAUUUCAUUUUCGGUGCCAUUGCUGGAGUGAUGGGCACAUGCUUCUCAGUACUAAUUCGUAUGGAAUUAGCACGACCCGGCGAUCAAAUUCUUGGUGGGAAUCAUCAACUUUAUAAUGUUUUAAUAACAGCUCAUGCUUUUUUAAUGAUCUUUUUUAUGGUUAUGCCGGCGAUGAUAGGUGGAUUUGGUAAUUGGUUUGUUCCGAUUCUGAUAGGUGCACCUGACAUGGCAUUUCCACGAUUGAAUAAUAUUUUGUUCUAGUUGUUGCCACCAAGUCUCUUUCUCCUAUUAAGCUCAGCCUUAGUAGAAGUAGGUAGCGGCACUGGGUGGACGGUCUAUCCGCCCUUAAGUGGUAUUACCAGUCAUUCUGGAGGAGCAGUUGAUUUAGCAAUUUUUAGUCUUCAUCUAUCUGGUGUUUCAUCCAUUUUAGGUUCUAUCAAUUUUAUAACAACUAUCUUCAACAUGCGUGGACCUGGAAUGACUAUGCAGACCUCUCAAUGCCCACUGCUGCCUACUCCACCAACUACUCCCGCGUUCUCACCACUGUUCCCACCAACAAUCCCUGGAUCCUUGACUCCGGUGUGUGCUCCACACAUCACAUAACCUCGGAUCUGGCAAAUCUGUCCCUUCAUCAGCAGUAUAAUGGGGGAGAGGAAGUCCUCAUAGGCGAUGGCUCUGGUCUGCCCAUUGUCAACACUGGUUCCAUCUCUUUACCCUCCAUCUCUCGCUCUCUUUAACUCACAAAUGUUCUUAAUGUUCCUCAAAUACAUAAGAACUUGAUCUCUGUUCAUCGCCUGCCAAUAAUGUAUCUGUGAAUUAUUUCCCUCUUCCUUCAGGUGUGUGCUAAAGAUCUUCAUUCGGGGUUACUCCUUGACUUAUAGGCGUGCCCCAGCAUUACCAGAUAUAGUAUUUAGACAAGCAAUUAUUUGAGCCGGCGUAUGAGGGGUUCCUCCAGCUUCGCUGAAGAAGCUUGGUUCCUCCGCUCCCAUACCUUUAGCAACACACACAGAGGGAAGCAAUAACUCGACUGUAAGGAGAGGGAUUUCUUACUCGGAGAGGGAUUUCUUACUCGACUAAAAGGAGAGGGAAUCCCGGUAGCUCAGAGGUCUUUCUUCGCUUCCUACAAGUCAAGCACAUCCAUUAACAGCAAUACCACUUCGCACACCUUCCUACCUAUCAUACCGAGUACUUCCUAUCCGAACAAAACAAGUAAGAAUAACUCGAGCGAAAGAGAGAGAUAUUCUAUACAAACGGGAAGCACUGCUAGCCCGCUCACUCGUAAGCUUUCCUCGUGAGCUACAAGCUGCACCGGUUACAAGAAGGAUCUUAACAACUAGAUCCAGACACAACGAAUACAUCUAGUACACUUCUUCCCUUAUUCCGGAUAACUACAAAGAUAUUGACUCCAGUAUGCCAGCUACACCUUCGACACAGGAAGCAAGAAGCAGGAACUAGUAAAGACCGACGGAUCCUUCUAGCGACAUCUUCCCGGUACUAACAACAAAGAUUUUCUCUCUAGGAAACGCGCCCGGAAGCUGCACUUGUAGCCUUAUAGCUCAUUAUGGGCCUACCCAGACCUAUUACAAGCGGGAAAAUGGGCUUAGAGCGGGGCCUUAGAUGCGUGUUGAGGACCGUGCUCUAAUCUAUUCUAGCCUCAGUGAGAUAGCCCGACCACUUCCUGUGCUGUAGUGAUGCCUGACUAGAAAACAAGGAUUCUCGGCCAAGCCAAGUAAUAGCAUAAUAUAUAGAUAUAGAUCGAUUCUAUAUCUGUUUUCGAAGCCAUCCUUCUUUCCCUUGUCUCCCUUGUCCUUGUCUGCCUUUCAGCGAAGCGCUAGCGGAGACUGGAAAGAGCAAUCCCUAGCUCCGGAUGUUCAGUUAUCUACCUUCCGUCCCCUACAAAGUAUUUCUUAAUUGGCCUUUACCUGCCCUGCCCGUACUAUUACUAAAUUGAGCACCAGAACCGAACUCAGGCUCGUUCCAUUAUAAAUAUCUCCUAAAGCUUGAAAGAAAUGCGGAUUAGCACAGGCAGGAAGUCUUUUUUUGUUGUCAAAGGGAAGUCUUAACAACAAAAAAAUACGGGGUUUUUUUUAUGUGUAUCAAUUCUAAUGCCACUUUAGGGCGGAAAUUGACUUUCAUUCAAAAGGGGAAAAUGAAAUGGAAAUAGAUAGCUUAGACAGCCGGUCAAAGGUUUACAGGGGAGUCCGCCUUAGGUCUCAGUCUAUGUUGCAUUUCAUACACCCGAGUCAGGGAUUUUUUUUCCUACGGUUAACUCUCUCUGGUUGAAAGAGUCACUCCGAGGAACGCCUUAGGUCUCAGUCUAUUCUGCCUUAGGUGUAAGUAGAUUCGUAGAAGUAGAUUAGGAGCAUUUUCAUGCAGCUUAUUUCAGUCUAUUCCCCCUGCAUUUUUACGAGAAGAAAGACGGAAGAAUGUAAUGGGCUUCUGCAAGGGAAUCAGAAUAGGUGACAAAUGCCACAGAAGGAACACAGAAUAGGCAUCGAGCAUAAAAGAGGUCGCAAGCACAUUCAUUGAUGCAUCGAAUGCUAGUGGUUUUGCCUUAUCCACGGUUAUAGAAUCCUCUGUCGGCGUAAAGGCUCUUUUCUCUUUUUGAACAAAAAUUGACCAGACUGCCUAAUCUACAGGAGCGAAGCCCAUUGAGAUUCCCAGAUCGAGUUAUGUCCCUGGAAAUAGGAAUAGAAUCAUACAAAAGAGCUGUUAGCAGGGCUUGCUCACGAGUAGGCAGAAGAGAAUCGCUUGGCUUGGGAAAUAAGGGUGGCUUGUUCACGAAUGCCCUGUUAGAAGGAAUCAUUGGACAAAAAGAGGGGUAAUCUAAGAGGAAAUGAAUCAUCAUAGGUUGUUCAAGAAUAAGGGACUGAUGACUUUCCUGUUGAUGCAAGUAACUGUGAACUGCCUUAAGAUAUGAAUGAUAGCCCGCAACAGGCGGGGCAAAACUUGAGAUUCGAUAUUAGCUGAUGCAGAUGAACUAGAAGGGGUUCCUCCGAGUAGGCUCUUUGAUGGAAUAGUAGAUGUCGGCAUUUCCGCUCCUAAAGGAAUGAAGCUCGCCACAAAAAAGAAAUUUCGGCACAUUCAUCAAGCUUAGGAAAUCCGUCCUUCAAAGAUCCAAGCAGGGGAUUCUCAAGCAGUACACACACGAGGAAGCAGUCCCGUCCUCAUGAUAAUACUGCUUUAUGGGAUAAAACAGAGGGCGAAGCGUAGCGAGCAAAUGAAAGAAAGAAAUUGGUUCUCGUUGUUGAUUCCGUAUGGGUCAAAGAGUUCCUAAUUGGUUAGUUGCUUCAGCCAAGGCAGCAAUACGGUGCUAAUUCAGAGGUUUCCCUCUUCUAAUAAGAUAAGCUAACUAAGCAAAGAUUCAAGGUACGAAGUGACAACCUUGGGCAUUGCACGAAUCCCCUCUUUCGGAAUAGAAUAGAGCGGGCAAAGCCCUAUUUCUUCUUUCAUUCUCGGCUUUUAGUGAACCAGGAAAAGAGAUAAUGAAUUAGGUAGGGUGGUCCCAUCAGAAUGGGCUUGGACCUUUUUCUUUGGAGGAACCUAGCUUCUUCAGCAAAGCUGGAGGAACCCCCUGACCGAUAGUUUGAGUUUGUGGAACAAGUUGUAGAGAUCCCAUACUUUCUAGUACUUGUGGAGAAUCCCAGAAAGAAAUAGCUUGAGUUGUUGGUGGAAGUGACCUAGACAUAUUUUGAUUUAUAGGAGGAACCCCUUUUCUUCCGCUAGGUAAGUUGGGAAGUCCAACAUAAGGCAGGUCAAUUACAUCGAACCUCAAUUCCAUCAAGCCUUGCUCGAGGAACGCCUAUGGUUGAUAGUGAACAGCAGAUAUGCUACAUCCAGCACUCACUUUCUGUCUAUUGGCCUUAGAACACUCCUUCCUAUGUUGUUUUCAAUGAAGGGGAAGUGAUUCCUGAGUUCCUUCGCACAGGGUUUGAAUUGAAUUCAGUCAGUUUUGUCUACAUCUUCUCUGCAAUUACACCAGGAAAGAAAGCAGAUACUGAUGCUGAAUGCACUUAACAAAUCCCAUGUCUGAAUGCCUUAAACUUCGAUUCAAAAGAAAGCAGAACUAGACUGCCAACGAUCUGAUCUGACGAUAGAGAGUCUUCACCUUGUGGACCUGCUUUCGCCUAAUGGUAAUCUUUGUAUUUCCUUCUGUCUUUCGGGGAUGUGAUUGGGAAAAGAGCCAUUGGAAGGUGACUAAAAGACCAGAAACAGGGGCUACCCGAGCUAAUGAUGAGGCAAGAACACUUUCCGGCCAGGCCUGACUAUAACCAACCUUACAGAUCCCACUCAACCUUUUACACCGAUGUAUCGUACUCUCUCGACCAGGUCAUCAUAAGAAAAUACUGCUAAAUCUUUCCAAAGUUAUAGAAGGAGGGAAGGCGCGCUACAACUAAAUAACAGCCAGCUGAAAAAUGCUAGCUAGUUAGGCUAGCACGCAAUGGCUUUCUCUGCUCUGAUAGGGGCUUGCUUCUUCAAGCUCUGCCCAACCUAUACAAGGUGCUGCUCGCUUUCUCUCAGCCACUAGUGGCUUAUGUGGUGGUCGACAUUCUACGCGCUCCUCCUUGCCCCCUACUUCAGAAUCCAAAGGUCAACUUUGGAUGUUGUCGUGACGCUUUGGUUACGAAGGUUACCGGGGUCUAGGUUUAUGGAUGGAGUCAGUCAGCGAAAGUCCUCAAUCAAUAUCAACAAGAUGUCGUGACCGCUUAGACUUGGUGGAUUUUGUCAGAAAAGAAUGUUGGUUUCGGGGGUUCAUUGAUUAGUACACCUCUGGUGCUGGUAAGGUCGGAACCGUGGUCGUCCGUCUCCGGUUUGCCGGCCGAUAAGAUCUCUGAGAUUGAUCAGCCAGCUGGGUUGGUUUGGUUAUUCCUUUCUAUUGGAAAGGAGUCAGCUGUCUGCGCGAGUCACCUUCUUUUAGGCUCCGCUGAACGACACGGCAUUCUCGUUCAAAUAUAGGCCGGCCGUACUUGUGAUGGUUCCCAAGGAUCCAAUAUGACCACUUAGGUCUACGUUGCCGCGAUAUUUUUCUAUGGAAGCGGGCGGGCUGUUAGAAGUUCGGCCCGGGUUUUUUGGUGUCGUAGGGGAGGGAUUGACCUUUCUAACGUAUAUUCAGUCGUACCGGCAUGGCCCCACUGAUUUGUUUUCGAUCGGAGCAUCAAGCAGCGCAACCCGGUUCUACUUGACUAAGCCCCGUGCUUGUCCAAGGAGGGAGUUUGCUUUACCCAACUUCCUUUUUGAUAACAAGGCAGAAACCUCCGACCCGACAUUCAAAAGUUUCGAAUGAAGAAUGAAGAGUGUCCUGCCCCAGCAAGCACCUACAAAAUUCUAAAUAAAAAAGCGUGACUUUACUAAAUAAGCAAGAAAAGCCCUUUCACACUUCUUAGUAAAGCCUAAGCGCCCUUGUUGCUAAAGGUAAGGUCGGCUUUCUUCGCAUGCUUGAGCGCAUUACGCAUUAAUAUAAUACAUAUAUAUCAACCUUUCCUUGAGUUUUCAAUAAGGGGCAUCUAUAGUAAAGGGCCUUUUCAAUAAGACUCGCGCUAGGCGAUCACGUUUUUUGUCUUCCCAAAAAUCGAAUAUUUUUGAGUUGGUAAAGACCCAGCCCUAGUUUCAGUCAGAAUGAGUCCCCGGGACCCCGGGACAUUGGCUUCCGCCAACAGUAGACUAUUAAGGACCGCAUCCCACGCAUAUUCUACAUUAUAGCCUGCAACUGAUUCAGCUUCCGCUUCUGGGAGAUCACACGGAGCUCGAUUAGUUUCUGCUAGACGAGAAAUAAGGAACAUAACCAAUACAGGGAACAGGGGAAUACCAGACCAUAUCUGCUUUUGCGCUAUGACAAUCUCACUCGAAUUACGGGGACCUACACAUAUUAGUACAGUAUACCGGGUGUCCCCGGCCAGAACCACACGUGCAAGUUUCCCUGCAUGUGGCUCGUCCGUGCUUUUCGAGGCGCUGUCUGUGACUCAGCAUGAGAGAAGGGGGCGGAACUGCACACUCUCGUGUUCAGAGCAUUGUCCGAGUGAGUAGGCAGCGCCUACCAAGCAAAGCUUUGUUGAAGAGGCUGGGCUGCUUCCUUUUCGGCGCCCGCCUUUAUUCAUCUAUACUAAAGCCACACACGACCCAAUAGGAACGAUUUCAGCGCCCCUCUCUAGACAAGUGCUCGAGUCAUGCUUACGCCCUCUCCUUUCAGUCGAGUGACUUCGCCCCUCUCUAGAUAAGAAGCAAAACGCGCCAUCACCUACAGCCCUUUCCUCUGAAAUGAAAACGGGCGGCAUCAUUGUAUGCUCGACAUUUGUUGCCCUGGUUUAUAUCCCGGAGUACUCCUAUGGCCGAUCUGUCACCCAACCUACUUAAACAACCUAAAGGAGGAACCUAGCUUUUUCAGCGAAGCUGGAGGAACCCCUGUCCUGCUUUUAGAAUGACCCUUAUGGCACAGCUUAGUCAGUUAUUCUCGCAGUUCAGAUAAGAUUCGGACCGCCACUUCUCUGAAAGCAUGGUGCUUGCCUCCUCCCUCCUUGGCGCUCAUCCAUUCGUUGGGUGAUCCCUUGCUCUCACGUUCGAGUGUUUUCUCGUCGUUUAGGCCGGUGAGUGAGAUUUCUGCUCAUUGCAGUCACCUCCGGGGUUCUUUGCACCUGGGAUAGUACCAGGACCCUUGUGCCCCGGCUCUUGAUCAGAUAAAGCUGCCCGCCCGAAGCCCGACCUAUGACCCACAACUCAAAAUGAGCCUUACGACGAGACGCGGACAUUACCCAUGCUGCGGUUCCCUCCGGUCCGUUCCCGGGUUGGGUUAGGGGAACAUCAUAAGAGACCAAUAGAGACUUCAUAAUAAGAAUAAGACCAAUAGAGACUUCAUAAGAGACGCACAAUAAGAAUAAGACCAAUAGAGACUUCAUAAGAGACCAUCCUAGAAAGGCAUAUUUCGAAUAUAGAGGAGUUCAAGUUACCAACAAUCAACGAGUUGAUCAUACCCUUCUAUGAACCGUACAAGCACGUCCUCUCUCACACCCCACCGUGCUUACGGCUCUAUACCCCAACCCUACUGGCUGUGGACCUCCCCCUCGGUCCUCCCUUUCUAUUCCUCGGUAAGCAGGCCGUGGGAGCAUGGCGGGGGGCGCUAUCCCCUUUUGACUGAUAGAAAGCAUCUCUCUUUUGUCUCUCCUGACCGAACCCGCCAAAAAAAUCACAAUAGAAUAAGUUGUUCUUGCCGGGAGAGUAGCGUCUGAGACAUCUUUAUCUGAGGCGUUCCUCGGCGCGGAAGUUACCGUUUAUAGAAUGCAAGCAAGGUAGCUUGCCUGCCAAGCCGAUAGGCGAAAGGGCGAACUGAUCGACUUGCAUGUGUUAAGCAUAUAGCUAGCGUUCCUUAGUCUCAAUCACAGACCUUUUUUCCAUUUUAGGUGAACGAAGGUUACCGGCUCUACGACCUUGCAAGGCACUACAGUAGAGCUCGAGGAACGCCUGCCACUUUCUCAAUCGAAAAUGUCAACUGUGAAGAUUCUCACGUUUCUUUAUGUAAGUUCAGGAUUUCUUUUCGUUGAUCGGAUCGAGCACAUAGUAAGAAACCCUAAGUCAAUUCAUUCUCUUUGGCUGAUGUCAAUCUUCAUCAAGACAGCUGACCGAGUCGAAACCUACUGCUCAAGUCUGAUGAAUGCCCCGUUCAUGAGCUGGUAAAGUCGAGAUCAAUCAAGGGGAUCGGAGACUGGACGUCUAUUUCACUAUCCCGCUUUUGUCUAAGAAAGUCAGAUGCCUAUGCGGGAUCAUUAUGAACAGGUUACAAGGCGUUCCUCGUAGCUAUCAGAGGCAAAGGUGGUGACCCACCAUAUUUUUGACAGCUGUCUCGGUUGUUUGAGUUUUUAGAUUGUGGAACAGGGCCCACAUUUACAUAUUUUAGGUGACCUAGCCCUACAGUUGGCACUACGAAGUCGAGAGCUGCAGAUCGACCUCUGCCCGCUGCCCUUACCUACUCAAAUCCCAAAACGAAAAGAAUAGGCUUAAGCAUCUGGCUUACCGGUAAUCUCCCAUUCCCAACAUCGAGAGACUUUAAUAACUAUAGCAUGCUAGAAAAGGGGAGUUUAGGUGCUUAGACCUAUAGCCCGAAAUCUUCAACUUCUUAUAAGCCGACAUAACAUAUUCAACCACGGAUUAAGUCGACAUAACAUCUUCACGUUCAGUCAGGGUUUUCCAAUUGGAUUACCUUGCCGGAAUUGGAUAGAAAUAGGGCUAGACGCGCCGGAGGAACCCCUUCUGCUCGAGCUCGCCGUAGGAAACUUUCCCCAAGGUUUCAAGAUCCAUCUUUCAGGUUCCUUUCAAGCUGUAAGGCUCGCUCUGUUCUCAAGGCUUGGUAGCUCUUCACAAAGUCCUCCUUUUUCCACGAGUUGGAACCGUGCCGACACAUUUUCAUAUCGUCCCCCAGUAAUAGAGUGGUAGGUUUCUUCCCUUUCUAUUCUGUAUGACGCCUGAAUCCUUCAGCUACAUCUAAAGAAUCCCAACCAUUACACUAGAAGAAGAUAGGCAACUACCUUGACCAACCAAAACAAAUGAAGAAAGGAAGGGACGAAAGUGACUCGAGCAAAGCGAGAGGGAUGAAAUGAAUAAAGGGUUAUCUUGGAUUCCGACUUGGAAGCUUGAAUAGUGAUAGAUAAGACAACGCAACUAGAUUUCACGUCUUUUCUUGAGAGUGCCUUUCCAUCGCAAGUAACUGAGCUAUCUAGGGUUCAAAACCUGGGGAAGUCACUUCAACAGAAGCCUUACCAAAGUCAAGAGAUUGGGCUCUUAUAGCUAUAGUUGGAGCUUUUACAAACAGGUUUAGAGUAGGCAAUUCCUAGUUCAAGUUUCAGCUUCAUAGCUAUAUAUUUCCUUUCUUAACUGGGUUUUUGAACUUCACAUAUAGCCCAUCAGCUUGUGACUUCGCACUCUCAGUUUUGAGAUUGGGAAUCAACAGAACUGCCCUUUCUUAACUUAAUUAUAAAGGGUAGCUUAGCUGGUUAGAUUUACUGAAGGUAAUUCAAUCGCUGAACGUUGAUAAUAGCUUUCGAGAAGAGAUCCUGACUCUCCAGCUAGUUCAAACUUCCCCGAUUAGUAAUGCUCUCACCCUGGGGACAUAUCUCACCUUUGUCAGCAAAACAGUAGAACCAUCUUCAUUUCUCAGUCUCACACUUCCUAUUCCCUUCACUGUUGACAUGGUGUCAUUUGCCAUCUUUACUUUUCCACUACCAGCAUCUGAUAAACUCACAAACCAUUCUCUUCUUCCGAAAGAACAACCUGUGUCAAGUAUCCAGACUUCCCUUUGUUAGGAAUCCCUAAUUGAAAGUGAGAAGGGACCUACACUAGUAUAUAAAGCUUUCACCCUCUCCACUCAUUGCCAAUUGGUUUUGAGUUGGAAGCCCAUGAACACUCGCAUGGUAUCAAGAGCCAUGGAGGGUUCUCUUGAGUCUUAUCCUUUUCCUUCCAAUAUCAAUAUUACUAGUUGAGUCUCCAUUAAACUCAACGAUCGGAACUAUCUUCUAUACGACGAAGGAAGGGUGCGAUUGAGUCCGCUGAACUUGGGCGAGAGAUGUGACUUUGAGGAACGCCAAAGCUCUGGUGUCUACGAGAAGCUUCAUGAGUCAAACAAUUGAGGAAGCCGAUGCUUAUACUUGGGUAGAGAAUCUCGCACAAAGCAAUGGGAGUCAUGGCUCGGAUUAUGAUCGGACUACAAGGAAAAAUAAUGAUGAAUCUCAUCAUGCCAUCCAAGAGCUGAAUGCAAAAAUGGAUAAGAUAUUGAAGCGUGACCAAAAUAAAAGAUGACGGUAAACUCUUGUGAAGAGUAUGGUGGAUAUCAAGGGUACCAAGACUUUUGUGUUGAAGGGUAUGAGGAGCCACAAGAAGAGUAGACGUGGCAGGCAUUGAUCGGUUCAUUGGGACCGGGCUAGCAAAGGUGCGAAUCCUUUUACGCCACACCAUGUCACAUCUGCCUUCAUAGCUCAACGGAUAGAGCGCUCACCCGCUAAGUUAGGGGUUCUUGGGAAUAAGUCUGCCUUUGUUUUUUACACGUCAACAUCCCCUGAUUGAUAAAGGGAGUGAGCACUUCACUGAAGUAUGUGGAAGUGGUGGGAUAUCGCGAAUCGAGAUGUAGAUGAAGUCGUCUUUGAGUCAUGUAGAAUGCGAUACUUUAACGACACGAGACCCUGAAAAGGGAUUCAGUAGGCGUGGAGUUCGAGAUUGCCAUAAUGGAUGAGCUUUUUGGCUCAUUGUGCUUGCGAGACGAUCCUCGGAUUGGUUCUUUUCAAAGUCUGUUGGGAAGACGUAAACGCCAAUCUUCCCUGCCCGAUCAAUCUCAACACUGUUUUGGCCCCCCCUAAUACCUAAUACAAAGUCAGAGAUGGGGAAUCCUUUAGUUUAGAGACAAGUCUCAAAAUCGACUUGCAGGAAGGAUAGCCUACACCCUCUUUUCUGGACCUUCUUGUGAAAGUUUUCGGUAAGCUUUCACAGAGCAGAUGUUGUUCUCGACUGAAUCAACAAUGUUUUCCUUUUCCGCUAUAAUUCAAAGGCGUUCAUCUCCUUUUAGUCGACUAACUGGCGUUCCUCAAUUCAGAGACUGAGCCGGCUACCGUACUUCAUGCUUGCAGGAACAGCAGCACUACUAGGCAAUUAAUUAGCUGCCCCAUUCAUGCGCCCUCUAAACAACGAAAGCUACAACAUCAACGAAGGGAAUAGGCUUGCUUCUUCCUAGCGAUCGGGCGUUCCUCCCUCUUCCUGUUCACCGCCGGUUCGCCCACUGCUGCUUUCAUAGAUGUCGUGCGACGGGGUUCCUCCGCUAAUGGAUGCCUAUUCCGUUCUCCUGCUCCUGCUCCAGCUCAAGAGUUCAAACGGACAGAAGAGAGUCCUGCUACCGAAAAAAAAAGUGCAUAAUAUUGGAUUCAAACAAAGGGGAUUUAUUCACGAAUACGAUUUCUAUUGAUUGAAAGCUUUCCUAUUACUGAUGGCAGGCGGGCGAGACGGAGACCGCCGAAGAAGUGCCUUGACGCGCCGCAGCCACUACUUUGACUCCUUUUAUGCAAUUAUGUUAUGAACUCCACGGAACUUUCUCGAUUCCAACGCAACUUAUCCUUUUGGAGCUGACGUAAUAAACUAGGCGAGCCUCCCAACGAAGCCAACAUAAAUCCUAUCCGAAUAAAAAAAAUAAAAGGCAGUUUCAUUAUGGUGGUAUACCAACCUCCUGUUCUGGAACUUCCAGUUCCAAUCGAAGCAUAUAGAUCCGUAAAUAGAUUUGUAUGUAUAGCCACUUCAGCCGUGCUCGUCUUUUCUCGAAAGUAUUUUUUUCUGGGAACAUGGUUAACCAAAAAUGAUUAUGUUUGCGAUUCUUCAUCCACCAAUGCAUAAAAUGCUCAAGUUUUCCAUUCUUAUAUGAGGCCGGAAAGUUUAUUAGCAAGAGGUCGGCAUGAAGUGAUUCAUCAUGCUCAAACAUGAGCCGAUCGUUCGUUAGGGACGGUUUACAGAUCAUCAAAUUCCCACAAAUGGAAUGAGAAGUGGGUCCAUGUAAAUGAUCGAGACCUCGCAAACAACAACGCUCCUUCCCCAUAUGGAGUUCGGAACCCAAAGGCAAUUGUUGAGUGAACUGUAUCUUCUUUGUGUUAGUUGACCUCAGCCGCACCAUUACUGCUGGGGUGGGGCUCGGCCUCCAAACCGUACGUGGGACGAGUUUCUGCCUCAUACAGCUCGGGUCGAAGACCGGGGGAAGUUUAGGAGAGAUGAGGAGACCCAGCAGCUGCCGGUCGGGGCGGGGGUAAGCUUGUGAAGAAGCGAGCUUAUCCCCCCAAAAAAACCAAUCCUAUAGCGCUAGCGCUUCGCGUUCUUUCUAUUUUAUCUCAUUUCAUUCCGGGAUAGGCUAAUAAUACUAAUCUAAUAAGUGAAGUAGUCGUCGUCUGACCAAUUGACUCGGACACCAGACCGCUCGUGCCCGCCCAUUCUGUCUCGCCCUAAAUGGAAUGGCUUUCUUAGUUACGCUGCACCCCGCGACCCGAGUCCCCACGUCCGCUCUUCUCCGCCCGCAACCUAAAAAGUUGGCUUUGCCAACACAACAUUAGGGCUGUCCCCUUCAUUCUAUGCCGACCCCGGCCCGGAGCUGGCUUUUUGGGAAGCCCAUUCCCACCGCGCUCAUGGCCCGGCUGGCCUGCCAGAGGUAGUGGGAAUUAUCCCGUUCCCUGGUCAAAGACUUGGUUGGAUGCGGGAUCUACUCCACGAGGAGCGGUACGGACGUAGAUGAUAUCAUCACGACCUCUCUUUUCGUACCGCUAGGGAUGCUUAACGCCACUUCGCCAACUAGCGUUACCCGCGCUUUCGUAUCUCUCAGUGUGGUCAGCACUGGGUGUUUCCGAGCAGCGAAGCUUACACUCAUUCGCAUUAGUUCAUCCAAAGUUCCUUACCCUUAUGCACGAAUUUUUGAAUAAGCCAUCUUCCUAUCAAGGUUAAGGAGUCAACUGAGCAUCUCAGCGGCGGGAUUGAAUACCCGGAUCGAAUCAGAGUUCACGCCGCCCGCCCUGAACAAAUAGGAGGCGUGGGCCACAGGUCGCACAUAAGCUGCCGGGUCGCACGACAGAAGAACACCCAACAUACAGAUGCACACUCCUUCAUGUGAAAUAUUCAUCUUCAUUGGAACCUUUUGGUAGUAGUCGUGACCAACAGCCAUAGCCAUCAGCUGUCGGCUCCUUGGUAAGGCGAGAGCUUCAAGCCCGAUUUCUGGUGGCACGCCCCCCACACAAGCACCACCCAACUCAGGCGGGACGGGGAAAGCUAUAGGCCCAAAACCUUCGACCCUUCUUUCUAAAUCUAAAUGGGGGUGCCCGGAGCACCUCAUCUUGUCAUUUCAUCGUUGCUCAUUCCCGUUCGGCCGAAGUGUUUGGCCUUUCCUUCUCCGCGCCCGCUCACGCUUCGCUGACCUAUCGCGUGCUAAAAAGAGGAAAGUACGAAAGAAUAGUAAACAGAGCACACCGCAGAAAGAUUCUAAAUAUGAGAAGUCCCCCUUGGAUUCGAGAAGACGGAAAUGAAGAACGGGAAUGAAAAAAAAAUAAGGCCUUUCUAGCUCUAGUUUCGGAUGAGCUUCUCCCAAUUAUCUCUGGUAAUAGAAUAGGGCGACUUGCUCUGACCAAGACUCCACUUUUUGCUCCGUCCAUAGAGCGUAUGAUUUUCCUGGAAUGUAGAUAGACCAAAAGAGGGAAUGAAGAGAUAGGAAUAGGAAUUAUAGUACCAUUGGAAAAAGGGGCACCCGUGGGAACAUCUCUACUGACGAACCAUUUCAAUAGUACGGGUGCUGCCGUGACACAAGGCACGACCAUAAAAAGAAUCAAAAAGAAAAAGUUAUGUAGUUGGACCAUCUGCUCUAUCCGUUCGAGUUUGGCUUCUCUAAAGAAGAGAAGGCGCUAAAAAUGAAAAUGUUCGCAAGGCAUACCGAAAGGAUACCAAUGAAGCCAACCAUUAAUGACUAGUUCGAACACCAGGAGCGGAAGGAGGGACUUGAACCCUCAACCUUAGCCUUGGCAAGGCUAUGCUCUACCAUUAAGCUAUUUCCGCCAGCUAUGGUAGUGGCGACAGCACUACUGAGCAAUUCACGUAUUACUUGAUACGGACGACUUCCGUUUUUAUGCCGGACCACGCUCUUGACCUCCGAUCGAGCUACGAGCACGAGUAGGUAGGCGGCUAGGGGGGGGGGGCUGGGCUGGGAAGGAAGGUUUUUUUUCCCUCUUUUUGCUUCGCGCCAGAUGAGAUGAUGAUUAGUGGGUAAGGUCCAGUGUGUGCUCUUGAUCACAAUCACUAAAGAGGCGGGCUGGCUGGGCUGCCUUUUCAAUCAAUCUCCAGCCGCUCAGCGCCACUAUUGGAGUUGUAAGGAGUGAAGGUCUCGAGUCGAGCUGGGGCCUCAUUUAAUUCUCGUAACGUGCACCACAAGACCAGACAAGUGACUCCCUCGCCUCGCAGCUAGGCAUCUGUCUUUCUUUUUUUUAAGUUGAGUCAUUUCCUUUCCUAAGACGGCUCCUCUUAUUCUACGAUAAUCCAAGCAAAUGGGAUGAAAUGGUGACUAGGUGAGAAUCCGCGUUACACGCGGGUGUUAAUUUUGUACUUUUCUUUUUAAGUAUUUGGUGUAUAUACUUUUGGAGAUAUAUUUUUUGGGCAUUGAAAAAUAGUGAGUUAAACAUAUUAUACUUAAGAAAUUAUCAUGCCGAAUUUGAAUGACUUAUUCUAUGAUAUUCCAUAUAAUUGUUCUAUUUAAAUGAGAAUUCAAAGAAAUUUAUCCCACACAUUUGUAAGCAAUUUAUACCAGUUAUCCAAGACUCUCAUUCCUUGAUCAACUUCACGGAAAAUGUGGAUUUCCUAGGAGGAUGACUAUAACUUUCAAGAGUUUGCAUCUUGGACUUUCAACGUCUCAGUGAUUAUCAAAGCACCUGCAUUCCACUUGGGGUCAUUUAGAGACAUUAAUAUUUACUCAUUAAGUCUUUCAUCCACCUUCGCAAAUUUUUAGUCUCGACUCUUGGUAUUCUGAAAUCUGAUGAACAUUCUUACUUCUAUCUAUUCAGAAACUGAAUGUAGUAGUAGUACUAUAAGAGUUAGAUUGAAUAACGCUUACAAAUUUUAGGCAUGGUGUACGUAAGUAUGAAAAUCCUCCUUCAAUCUGCAUGAAUAGAGAGCAUUUCUCAGAUUUUGAGGUAGUUAAUUAAGACAUGUUUCCUAAUAAUAGAUCUCAAUGAGAAAGCUCAAUCAAUCACCUGCGCAUCAGUGUCUUUAGAAUUUUUUACUCUCUUAUUUCUUUCAUUGCUUAUCUUGAAUAAUGAUGAUAAAUCACGAUAUUUCAAUAGUCAAGUUUAAGCUAUAGCUUUUACCCAAAAAAAAGGUUAAACCCGAAGCCAUAAGAACAAACACAAGUCAUCAUAACACAAGUCCGGACAAGAGCAUUGGCGUAGUUUAGCUUUCUAGAAGUGCCUCUUUACAGCUACAAACAAUACGAAUGCUAACUCGAAAUGCUUUGCACAGAUAGUACAAUGGAUGAAGUAAUAGCAUUGUACAUUUGAAUCUUCAUACCUUUUCUUGAUUUCAUAUGUAAAUUCAUGUUCUUAUUGAUUUUCUAUAUGAAAUAAACCAAAAGCUAGCUAGCGGAGGAGUGGAAAAUUUUCAAUAACAAGGAAAAGGCAGAAGCGACUAACCUUGAGGGAUGAAGAACGAAUGAUGGUGCAGACUCUUACGUCGGAACCGAAUCAUAGGAAGAUUGGUGUUGUAUGCAGUCUCCAUAUAGGGGUCAAAUUAGCAUGGAAAACCAACACAUAACAUGGUUAAAAAAAGUGAAUUAAAAAGAGAAUCAAAUUGCAGGUUUGAGUUUGCACAUAUAUUGUAAUGAAAGAAUUCAGUUAGCAUAUCUACCUGUUUCGGUAUCUUAGAUUGAAUCAGCUCGGAAAUGAGGAGACAUCCACUUGGAUUUCACAAACUCUGCUCUCCUCCAUGGCGCCACAUGUAGGCUUUUAUUCUGGUAGUUCUUUGCUGCAGGCACAAUCUCUGAUUGUCAUCAUAAUUCAAUGUCUGUCAAUACUAUUUCACCUCUGAUUAUCACAUGUACAUACUAAUAUUCCCUGUUUCAUUUCAUAAAACAGGCACUAUAUUGUUAGGCUUCAUAGCAAUCUAUUCAAAGAGAUAUGGAAAGGACAAUGUGUGCAAACAACCCAUCACACUGUAAGACUCUCUGCCAGAAACGUAAAAGUGGAUUAUAUAAGUCUCUUCUCGUUCUCUCCUUUUGCAUCUCAUAACAUGCAACCAAAACAGAAGCAAGAUUUCGAGUUUAACUAUUAGAGAUUUAUAGUGUACCAGCUGGACAAGAAGUCGAUUUCCCCGAGACAGAUUUGCAUAGAGACACAUCAUAUCAUAUUCGCUAGAAUCCUUUAGAAUCGGCCACAUUAAUAAAGGAUGACUCGUCCUUAAGCUUUCAAGUUCUUAUUUGUUUCCACAAUCUUUGUCGCAACACUCCUACAACGGACCAAAUUCUACAAAUUCAAUUUUCUUAUAUAAGCUAAUCUGUUUUCCCUUGAUCCAACAAACGUAGAGUCAUGAAAAAUUGAUGAAUCAUACCUUUAGGAUUUAAAAAGCUUCGCCAUUGUCAUCGACGAUGAAAUGCAGAACCAUCUUCGCUGAAUUACUUCUUGAAAGUUUUGUAGAAGCUUUCUUACAGGAGAAUUAAAAAGGGAUGACAAAUUCAUCACCCAUAAUUAUUAAUCCAACAGAAGUUGUACAGGCAACAGAAAAACGAAGGUUUCAGAGAAAUUGGAAUUCCGUUUGGAAAUUGCAAAACGCUUAAGAAAUAAAAAAAAAAGGAAGCGCAAGAGUGGAAUUUGGGUGUACACGUGGCAGUCUUUCAUGUGCUGACGUGGCACAAAUCUGGAGAAAGUUACCCAAGUUUUAUAUUAUAGACUAGGAGAGAACCUGCGCGUAUACGCGGUUUUAUUUAAUUUAUAUUUUAAAUUAUACAUUUUAAAAACUUUUAUUAAAUUUUAUUUUUAUUAUAAAUAUUUUUGCCUUUAAAAUAUUUAUAUUUUCUUUGAUUUUUUAUAACAUAUUAUUUGUAAUUAUUAUACACCAGUUGUAAUAAAGAAUUAAAAACCUAAUAUUUAAUUUCUGUAUAAAAAUAUAAUAGUUCACAUAUUUUUAUAAGUUGAAUACUAGAGAGCAAUAUUUAUUUGUUCUUCCAUCUUCAUAUUUUUUUAUUGUUGUAAAUCCUACUAAUAUAAUAUUUGUCAACUUUCUCAAUAUACAAUUUUGAGUUUUUUUGUUAUAUAUAUUUUAUUGAUUCCUGGUUUUUUUGUACAAAAAAAACAAUUUAUGACAUUUUUAUAUAUCCAUUCUUCUUUUUACUAUUAUUUUUUAUAUUUUUUAUCUUUUUAAUCAUUUAUUAAUUUUUAUGUUUUAUAAAUUUAUUAGUUAGAGUUUUACAUAAUAUUAUUUGAAAUUUCUUAAUAUAUUCAGUUUUAUAAUUUUUUUCACUUGCAUUAAAAUUUAAUUAUUUUUUAGUUUAAAAAUGAAAUUUAAAUCAUUUAACAAAAGAAAAUAGAAUGGUGCAUUUAAAAAGUUUUGUAUUAUAUAAUAUUUAUAAGUUGUAUUAUAUUUAAAUUAAAUUUUAAUUAGUUUAUUAUAUAAAUUUAUUUAUAUACAUAUUAUUUAUUUAUAUUCUUUAAUGUGUUUCUUUAAAAUUCAUUAAUUAUUUUUUAAUUAAGAUUGUAAAUGGACAUGUGUCACUCUCUCCAAUGCUGAUGUGGCAUUCAGAUGGAGAAAGUUGAUUGUAUUAUAUAUACUAAGUGAAUAUCCGCACGUUACGUGUAGGUUUUUCUUUUCAAAAUUUUUAAACUUUUUUUUAUAUUUUUAUAAAAAUUAAUAUAAUCAUUACUUGUUACCUAUUACUUGUUAAUAUUUUAUUCUAAAAAAUUAUAAAAUAUUAAUACAUAUUGAAUAUUAUUUAAUAAUUUAAAGUUAUAUUAAGAUUAAAAAAUAUCAUUCAAAAACUUUUAAUUAGUUAUAACAUAAAUUUUUGUUUAACAUUUACAGAAAUAUUAAUUGAUAGUCAAUUAAUUUAAAAAAUAAAAUUUAUAUAAUCAUCAUUUCAUUUGUUACUUGUCAGUAUUUUAUUAUAAAUAAUUUUAAAAAAAUAAUUUAAAAUACAUCUUGAAUAUUAUUAAGUAAUCUAAAUAUUAUUAAGUAAUCUACAAUUAUAUAAAAAUUAAAUACAUAUCUAUCAAUAUUUUUAAUUAGUUAUAACAUAAAUUUUUGUUUAACAUUAAUAUAAAUUUUAAUUAAGAGUCAAUUAAUAAACCAAACUUUUCAUAUUCUUUAAAUGUUUUAAAAUUUAAUAUUAAAAUUUAUUAAUUAAAAUUUAAAGACAGAUGUCAAUCUAUCCUAUGCUGAUAUGUCAAUGAUAUGCUAAAAGUUGAGCAACUUUUUUAUAUAUAAGAUAUUAUGUUGUUUUAGUAUAAUAAAGGGCCAAAAAUAAAAAAUUUGUGUUUCCGGUUUAGCCUCUCUCAACAUGUUGAAUCCAUGAUGGACGGACACCUACCCAAAUCUUUUUACCACUGGCCCAACCCAACGUUGGUAAAUUAAAUAUGAAUGUUUAAUGUUUAAGAAACUUGCAGGCCUUUCAUCUCUUAUAAGUGGAGCAACACCAAUAGCAAUAUAUUUUGUGAAAUUUGUAAAGUGACCGAGUAUAUAAAAAUAUCGACUCCAGGGUGUCUAGUUAUAUUUCUUUUUAGAGAGUUUUUAUCCUCUCUCUCUCUUCUCUCAUCUCCAUCUUUGAGAAGAGAGAGAGUUUUUCUCUCUUUUUUUGAUGUAUAUACUUCCGAUUAAUAUCGGAUCUUCCUUCCGUGUAUAAUGGAUAAUAAUUUCGACUUGAUCGGAUUUGUUUUAUUCCGUUUAUCAGAGUUCUUUUUCUUCUAUGUUUGAUUCCUUCUUCUUAUGUAGUAAAAUCCAACACCAAUCCUUAGUGGAGUGAAGGAUUUUAUCAAAUUAGAGGAAUCUUUGAUCUUCUUGUGUUAAAGUUAAGGUUUUCUGAUUUAUCGGAUGUUUUAUGCCCAUUCUCCUCUACAAUUGGUUCCUCUUGUAUAUGAGGCGGUGGUGAUUGGAUCUGGAGGUAAGAGUUGGAAGUCUUCUUCUUCAAUUACUAGUAUCAUCUUUUCUGGGCUGGGAUUGGAAUCUCCCUAAGUCCCCUAUUUUAAAGCCUUCUUCAAGGUAUGGGUGACAUGUCCUGAGUAUAGAUGAUUGGCGAUGAUUCAAAUGAAGGAUUAGAGUUUCUGCUCAAUUACUCUCUGGAUCUUAUUGAGGAGGAAACAAUAGGUGAAGAAGCAGCAAUUUGAGGAGGAUGAUAGAUCUGAUUGGAGUUAACCUAUGGUUUUGAACUCUUCGGAUUAUCGAUUUUCCGGCGAAGCUCUGUAUCGUCGAUGAGAUCGGCGGCAUCUUCUAACCAUUAAUCGGCGUUCACCCCAAUUAUGCUGCGUGUGUAACACGUGUUCUUUAAUUAUCGAUCCUUAUCUUUUAUUGUGGGCUAUAUAUGGGUUGAUAUUUUGGGCUUUAAUGUGUAAGGAUUGGGGCCUCAAAUCUUGCUGUAAUUUGCUUAUUGUUGGGCUUUCUUUAAUAAAAGAUUGGACGACAAAAAAAAAAGUUAUAUUUCUUUUUUUUAUGGAAAAAUAAAACUACAGACGAUUUUAUUAUGAAAACAGCGAAGUUUACAAGUCAAACACAGAGACAAUAAAAUAUGAAACUUUAUUCCCAUUGUUUGGUCCUAAUAUAUCCUGCCCCUUUAGUAUAUUUAAGGCUCUUAUUUCAUUACAAAUGAUACAGAUGAGACUUCUUUUUCGUUAAGUGUGAGAAUCUCAAGCUGAAACUCAGACAAAACCUACAAAGUCAAUAAAAAUCCGGAGUUUUCUUACCACUACAUAUACGGAUAACCAUCAUAACUGAAAUCGCAGUAGACUCUCACUGGGGGAGCACUCGAAUUAUGACCUAGACCCACACAGCGAAUCCUAACAACCAUUGGAUCAAGAUAAGGUAGUUAUACGGAGAAGACCUACACCCUCCACCGUAUCCUCGGCCGUGUCCGCCGUCUCCUCCGUAGCUCUGUUGAUCAGGGUGCAGUGUCUCCUCACUCUCUGACUUCACUGUGCCUGUCCAUAACAAUACAUUAUUUCAAAGAUCUUGUUUACCACGUGCAAUGGUGCCUUCCGAUUUCAAAACAUUUAUAUACGUUCUACAAAAGCUGCACAAAACAAAAUCAAAAUAAUUUGAGAUGGGAUGAUAAGUAUAAUAGCAGAUCAAUAUCAUACUUAAUUGUCUUGACUUACUCUAGGAUUCAACAUAAUUCUUAAGCGUGUAUUUUUGAAUAGCAUGAAAUAUUGACUGAUACCCUUGUUCCAAAAUAUUAUAUAUAUAUAUAUAUUAACUGAAAUAUAUAUGGAAGUACCCG